CCUUUUUUCUAUAUAAAAUUUAUAAAGAGAUUUUCCUAUUAAUAAUUAAUUUAUCCAAAUUUACAAAUUAAUCAUUCCUUGUUUGCAGCAGUAUUGGAAAUAAGCCAAAAAUAAUAUUUUUGACCUUUUUUCUAUUUAACAUUUUAUUAGAGCUUUUUAUAUUAAUAAUUUAAUACACAUACUUGCAAAUUAACUACAGAUAUAUAUAGGUACUCAAUGCACUACCAUUUUUUGCACACUAGUAUCCGUAUUCAUAGUUCAUUAGCCAUGGAUUUCUGUAUGAAGGCAUAGCAAAAUGUAGUUGAUUUUUUGGGCCGUUUUAAGAUAAUAAAUUCACAUUUAUAUAUGUUCCAUAUAAAAAACAAACAAAUUUCUCAUUAACCACGGGAAACCGUAGUUGAUGUUGAUUAACACAUAAAAGAGUAUCCAAUAUGAUUUGUAUUUACGUAUGAAAAGGAUUUCCAUAUAUAUCCAAUGUGUAUCCAAGGCUUUAGUUUUUUAUUUUAUUUUAUUUAAUCAUCCAAUGACUUUAUAUAAUCAUAACAAUUCCAGAUUGAAUUAUCCAUAUAUAGUAUCGAUCAGCAUGUGAACUGGAGUAGUCCUUAUCAACUUCUAUUUCUUCAAUUUCCCGCUUGUACGCCCAAAAAGAAAAAAAGAAAAAACAAGAACACGAAAGAGAGUGGGAACAAAAGGAAUUUAGGCGGGACGAUUGGCGCCUGAUAAGAGCCCCAAUCCCUCAAACCUCGCUAAUCGAUUAGAUUAAAAGGGCGUUCUGCUUUUCACUGACCAAGGAAGCAUAGGGAAGUAGAGGGUUUGCGAAAUCGACAUGGCUGGGUUUUUAGGAAGCGGGUUCGUGUGCUUUUAGAGGAUGGUGACCAUCAACAAGAGGAACCGGUCUCAAAAGAGAAUGAAUCAGUCAACAGGGACACGAACCUAUAUAUGCUAGUUUGGCUCAUGAAUAUAACUUCUGCAUGGUAAAAAGCCAGAUAGAUGGGAAUUGUUCAAAUUAACACACCAAAAGGCAGGAACUCAAGAGCCAAUUGAUGCAGCAGGUGCAAAAGCAAUUGCGGAUUUUGAAGAGGCCGAACAAAAGAGGCUAAGCAUGAAUCAACACAUCACUGCUCCAGAAAUCCGUGAAGAAAUGUAUGCUGAGGUUCUUGGUAAGGAGAAGGGAAACUGAGUAAGGGGUCUUGGAGCUGGGGUUACUUGGGAUGAAGUUCCUGGAAUUCAUGUGGAAGAGCGAGAUGUUUCAAAGGAAGUGCAACUCUUGCGAGAGCGUUUAGAAGCACAAACCAAAGAGGCACAAGAGAGGGAAGCACGUCUGAUGGAUGAAUUACAAAGGAAAAUGGCCGAACAAACAAAAAAAAUGGAAGAAAUGCUUGAAGUAAGGUGUGUAGGCAUGGCGGUCCAAAAAAUGGGAGAGAUGUUUAAACAAUGUGGAAUAUCGGUGGAUACAUAAGAAGAUAUGGAGCAAACAAUGUCUCAAUUUGCUCAGCACAUUUCUCAAAGGCCGUCAAAUGUGAUUUUUUCACCAAAUGAUGAUGUUUACCGCUCCACAUUGCCAUUUGAAUGUGCUGAUAUGCAGACGGAUUGAAGACAUUGCUUGAAGAUGGUGGUCGCUCGUUCAACUCUAUCGGAAGUAGUUUGAUAUUACAAUAAAGAUUUUCGUAUUAGUAUUUCCAUUUUCUAGUCAUUUGAGAUUUCGGACUAAUUUUAAUUCUUGUCUUUUGUUAGUUUAAAGUUUAAACUUUGUAGAUUUUA